UCCCGCCUACGUUGCGUCAAUCACGACGCAAUAUGUCCUUAUACUAAAAAAAAAAAAAAAAAAGCCUAACUUACGUAUUACCUACAUAAUUUGGGGUGAAAAUGCGUAUUUUAGGUCUUUUAGGUCAAACAAGCCUAAUUUUUUGGUCAAGCGCGCGUAAUUUCGAAUGCGUCCCACGUCAACACUGUCUUUAAUUUCCUCCACCAAAACACAAUCGUCUUACUCAACGUCCUUUUUAUUUAAAUUUUCAAUUGCUUCAAAUUAAUUUGCCCUCCCCCUCAGUUAAAAUUUAUAUAAUUGCUGUCACGUAUUCAAUCUUUUCGUCCUAGUGUCAUGAAAGUUAUCUACCACCUCAUAGAAAUUCAAAGAACUUCAAUUCUCGGCUCACAUAUCGCUCGCUACUAUCGCUAAAUGCAUGAUGGUAGAUGUGUUCCGGCAAAUCCUCGCCAGUGUGAAUAACUUUUGGAGGGAAAAGCUUGUUACAUUUUCCCUUUCGCCGAAAAGGCCAAGGAGGUAAGAGGGAAUACUGUUUUGCCCAGUGUCUUACAUACUUGUUUUGAGUUUUCCUUUAUCAUGGUAAUUCACAGCUUCACGAGGGAGGAAGCUUGUAACUUGUGGGAAAAUAUUUCCCCUCGCUCUAUCGAGGAUGAUAUUUCAAACGAAGUGACCCAACCAAAAGAUUAAAACUCAGUAAAGAAGUCGGUCGUUUAGACGAUCGUCAGUUCACCCCUCAAGGGAGACAUCCACUGAGAACAAGGAGACUACUUUUAGAUGAAAAUACUCUCAAGGUAAUCAAAAAGAGUUGUUUUCAUAUUUUUAAUUUAAAGUAUAUUUAUAUUUUGAGAAUCCUAGUUUAAAAUAUUAACAUAAAGAAGUAUAAAAUAGGAGGUAAUAUGUUUAAAAUGUUUAACUUUGUUUGAAUCAUAGAGUACAAUAGAGUCGCAAUGUACUGGAGCACCGAUAAAAUCAAUCCAUGAACGGGCCAUUCUGAGCCCCUUGUUCGCCAGAAAGUGGGAACCAUCUGGGAACCGUCCAGCAUUUUUUAAAACUGCGGCUCAUGGGAGAAUAGCAGGCUACGAGUGGUUUUCAGGAUUUAUUCAUUUAAAUCAAUUAUUAUUUCAGCGAAUUUUGGCAAAUUGUGUUCACUGAAGUCAUAGCAAAUUCAAAAUUUACAUCACUCCCGGUUUUUAUGAAAUAAAUUUUAUACCUGUAUUUUCUGAGGGAAGACUGGAGCUGGUACCCCGCGCUUACGGCAUCGCCAGUUGCCGCACACUAGUCUCAGGAGUACUGGACUAAACAGCCUCAAAUAGUGACUACAUCAGCGCUCCAGAACAUUGCGACUCUAUUGUACUCUAUUGUUUGAAUGGCAGAAUAUACUUUUUAAUUGCUUAUUCAAAGCUAUCAAGGAGCUUUCGCCCAUGACAGAAGUGCAAGAGUCUUUUACCCUUCAACUCUCAUGCUUCAAUAUCAUCAAAUGUCGAAAACAUUUGAAUUGAAACAAGGCCAAAAGUGGUCGUGCUAACUGGCAUCCUUCACCACAUGUUGCACAAUCUUAACUUGGUCUAGAUUGAACAGUUUAAGAAAUAUCAAGACUGCAGAUUUUAAAU
rnacentral:lncRNA from 1 species